AUGUGCCAAGGCAAAAGGGUGGAUGGCAAGAUUGUGUCCCAAGACCACAAACAACUCACGUCCGAGUUCAUCGCUUACAGGCUCUCGAACUCAAUAUCCACACUUCCAACAAUGAGCGUCCAACAUGUCAUUGACCUUGUGAAAGCCAUCUUUCAUUACCAGGUGAAAUACGGCAAGGCAUGGAAGGCGAAGCAAGCCGCAUUUAAGAUGUUGUAUGGUACAUGGGAGGAAGCAUACAACCGAAUCCCUAGGUUGUUGUUAGCCAUGGCCGCGACAAACCCGGGCAUGGUUCAUGUGGUCGAGCCUCAUGGGCACCAAACAACGGUUCAUGAAGGAAGGAAAGUCAGAGUAUUUGGCCGUGCUUUUUGGGCGUUCGAGCAAUGUGUGAGGGCUUUCGAACAUUGUAGGCCGGUCAUCGCAAUUGAUGGCACGCUCUUGACCGGACAAUACAAGGGCACCUUGUUGGUUGCGAUAGCAAGUGAUGCCAAUAACCGGGUGUUGCCAUUGGCAUUUGCUUUGGUUGAGGUGGAAAACAAUGACAACUGGGAGUGGUUUCUGCAUCUUUUGAGGAUGAAGGUGUUACCCGCUCAAAGGGAAAUUUGUGUCAUAUCGGAUCGGAAUCAAGGAAUUCUUAACGCCGUGGAGAUUGACAUUCCCGGGCAUGCUCCGUUGCACCAUCGAUGGUGCAUGAGGCACUUUUGUUCGAACUUCUAUAGGGCAUGUGGCCUUAAGGAGUUGGCCGAUGAUCUUCAAGAUUGUUGUCUCGCUUUCUCCGAUAAGCGCUUCGCCACUUUGUACAACAAAUUGCUCGCACACAAAAAACUUGAUCCCGGGGGUCAAGACUUUCUCAAUAGGCACAUUCAAUACCGGAACAAGUGGGCACGUGCUUUUGAUGAAGAUGGCCGGAGAUACGGUCAAAUGACAAGCAAUAUGGCCGAAUGCUUCAAUAGGGUGCUCAAAGGUGCACGUGGAUUACCCGUGACGGCAAUAGUUCAAUACACAUU
rnacentral:rRNA from 1 species